UACGAAGGGUGCAAGCGUUAAUCGGAAUUACUGGGCGUAAAGGGUGCGUAGGCGGUUCGUUAAGUCUGUCGUGAAAUCCCCGGGCUCAACCUGGGAAUGGCGAUGGAUACUGGCGAGCUAGAGUGUGUCAGAGGAUGGUGGAAUUCCCGGUGUAGCGGUGAAAUGCGUAGAGAUCGGGAGGAACAUCAGUGGCGAAGGCGGCCAUCUGGGACAACACUGACGCUGAAGCACGAAAGCGUGGGGAGCGAGCAGG
rnacentral:rRNA from 1 species